GCUUUUCCUUUCCUUUCCUUUCCUUUCCUUCAGGAUCUUUGCCGUUGUCUCUCUCUCUCCCUCUUCUUCCCCAAGCUCUCCAAUUAUGGAUCCAAACAACAACAAGAGCACUAAAUUCUCAGCGCGACCAAUUUUGUGUUGAAGAUGAAAAGGGAGUACCCAAUUCCAAACUCUGCGGCAGAUCAUCUUCUAGAAGCAAAAUCAUUGCCGGACGAUUUCGUAGGGGGACAGCUGAGGUACUGACCCAAUGGCUCCAAAAACACCACAACCUGAGCAGGAAAAACUGACUGAGUGUUAAGAGAAAAAGUUAGCUAAUUCCGAGUUAAAUGCAUACAAUGAUUUAAGCAAACAACCUCCAGCUGUGCGAUUGAACAAGGAAUUGGGCUUCAUCCUGACAUUCAAAUUAAAGGGGAAGAUAUCCCCUGCAGAGGUUGCUCGAAUAUAUGUGGCAGCUCUGAAAAGCCCCUAUGCACGUGACAAUACAUUUGAGGAUCUAUAUUUAUUGCAAGUUGAUCUGCAAAUCCCUUCCGCAAAGCUCGUACAUGAACAACUGAUGUAACUGAAGAAGAGGCUAAAUUCUUACUAACUGGUACCUGUAACACCGAUAUUGUAGCAGUUCGUGUGCAGUGUUCAGAGAAAUGUGAUGCAAAAAAAGCGAUGAGACUCCGCAUCACGCAUUAAGCGAAGCAUGAAACGAUGCGAGCGCAUCAUUAAAGUGAAGAAGAAGAGGUUGCAGUAGUGGUAGUCGCACAGUGAAGAAGAAGCCGCGAUAGUGAACUUCAAAUUAUAUAUUAUAUUAUAGAAAGGUAAGUUAUGGGACGAUCAAGGGCAUUAUAGUCAUUUUACAAUAGAAAUUUAUCAUCCAAAAUCUGUCUCUUUUUAUGGGCCCCAUUUCUCAUUCAA